AACACAUGCAAGUUGAACGGGAUUUGUGGGGUGCUUGCACCAUAUAAUGAGAGUAGCGCACUGGUGAGUAACACGUGGGAACAUACCUUAAAGAGUGGAAUAACCAUUGGAAACGAUGGAUAAUACCUCAUACGCCCUGAGGGGGAAAGAUUUAUCGCUUUAAGAUUGGCCCGCGGAAGAUUAGGUAGUUGGGGGGGUAAAUGUCUACCAAGCCUACGAUCUAUAGCUCGUCUGAGAGGACGAUCAGCCACACUGGAACUGAGACACGGUCAAGACUCCUACGGGAGGCAGCAGUGAGGAAUAGUGGGCAAUGGAGGCAACUCUGACGCUGCCAUGCCGCGUGGGUGAAGAAGGUUUUCGGAUUGUAAAGCUCUUUCGGAUGUGACGAUGAUGACGGUAGCAUCUAAGAAGCCCCGGCUAACUUCGUGCCAGCCGCCGCCGUAA
rnacentral:rRNA from 1 species